CCACCAUGGCUGCUAAUGGUUUCCUCCUCUCUUUUUUUUUUUAUAAGCUAACGGUUUUCUUCUCCAAUCAGGAUUACAAAUAGGGGUCUUUAUCGCCCGGUUUCAAUGGCCAGUUCUUCCCUUCAUCAACCACUCCUCUUCUCCAGAGCUAAGCCAUGGAGAAGGACAAGAACUCUUCCAAGCUACUCGAUUCAAUCUCUCCAAUGAGCAUCUUGGAUGCCCUGGCCGAAAGCAUCAUCGACCUGGUCAGGCCGGCCGCCGUCGCUCGACUCCAAGCACACAAUCCUUCAUACCAAAACCUCAUAGUCAUACACAAAGCGAUCGAAAACGGCAUGGGCUCCGGCUCCCUAUCAGUUCACUCCGGCAUCAACUUCUGCCAGAUCACUGUCAUCCUCAACCCAACCAUUCCAAAGUCC
rnacentral:lncRNA from 1 species